GAGGGACUGCAUUUCGACUUGGGGUAAAUUUCUAUUGCAAUAUUUAGAGGAACUAAUAUGUAGUUUAUUGCUGUAAUUUAUUUUCAAAAUGAAAAUUUUUGUUGUUCAUUUCUCUGGGCUAGUAAUACACCUUUUGUCAUCUUCCCAACAAUCAAGGUCCUAAUUAGAGCAUGACGUUUAAAUUGAUGGCAUAUCUGACAUCUCCUACUUUAGAAAAA
rnacentral:misc_RNA from 1 species